CGACAGUUGCCCAUCGUCUGUCGGAACGUUGGCUCUUCAUUUUAGUGCCCUUUUGUUUUUCUCUUACAUACCGGUAUGUAGAUUUUGCUUUGAUUAUUGAUAUUCGCUUUUUUUUUGUUUUCUGUUUUCUUUUUUCCUUUCCUAUGACGUGAUGAAUCCAUUUAGGAAAAAAGAAAGAAAAACGGGAACUAGAUCGUGACGCUGUCUUAAAGAAAUUAGUCCAUCAGUUGCCAACCCUCACCUUUCACUUUAUAAAAACUUGUCACGCGUACUAUACCAGACACGAGGUUUGUGAUUUUAGUGUCUCCCCUUUUUGUCUUUCCCUUCGAAGUUGUUAGCCUGGUGGCUGUAUUUCGUUGUACUGUACAGCAUAUACAUGGGCCUAAAGCGUGCUGGGUUAUAAUAGAAGUAUGGGUGCUCCUAACUGCGGUUUUUCGUCGAAAACAACUUGAAGAAACCUUUUUUGGUACUUGCAUAACGUACAGACAAUAGGUAUAUGUAAUGGGAUUUCCGUUCGAUAUUGAUGACGACGUGCUCGACGAACUCAAGCCAGGGCUAACGAAAAAUUGGAUUUGAAAACAGAGUUAAGGCUACUCACGACUCGCUUGGUAUGAAAACAUUUUCACCUAUUGCUAUGUGCGUCAUCACGUUUUUCAGUGGGCGAAAGGGGCGGAGGGAAGGAAUUGAACGGCGGACUUGGAACUCACGCUUUGAUAACAAAAGCAGUUCGGUUUUUCUUUUUUACUCCUUCUCUUUUGUUUGUUAUUUCCUAAAAAAAAAAUAUAGUGUUGGCAAGUGGUUUGAAAUAAAUGCUUGUUGUUUGGAUGUAGACCGCAUAACUUCGUCGUGGUUGAAUAUCUAACUUGCUAUUUUAUGGAAAAUACAUUAAGGUCACUGUUUACAUUUCACCAUGCCAUCUAUUAGCAACGGACUGUUGUCAGAGAGCGGAUAUGGUUUCUUUAACCUUGAAUGAACGCUACCGGGUACAUGUGCGACACGGUUAACAUUUUUAUUUUGUACUCAACUGGAGGACAACUGAAUAACAGAAGUCUUACGGGAAGGUAAGCAAGAAUUUACAUAACCAAUUGUUUUCAACAAUAAAAUGGUGAUAAUUGAAACUACGACUGCAACAGUCUUGGCAAAUUCUCAGAAAGCUAUUGAGUUAUCGCCUUCUCUUUGUUUUUAUGAAGCAAGACCCGAACAACCUGGUAUGCAUUGGUUAGACCAACAAACAUGUUCACACUGAAAAGAGACCAGUUUUUGGGGAUGAUGACCAAUGAAUAACGAGACCAGAUGAAUCCUGUAGCUGCUAAAGCACCAGAUUGUCUAAUGCUCACUUUUUCUACUGGGCGGUUCAUGUCUCCGAUACCAGCUAAUACCAAGCCCUGGCAAAAAAAUCAGUUAACAAUGAGACAUAGACUUUAACUGCAAUUUUUCUAACCCAUUUGAAGAGUGGUGACCAGAAGAAAACUGUUUUGGGUCCAGCUGGAUGUUCCCAUAAAGGUCGGAGUUUCUGCGGAACGAAUCGAUCAGCAAAAUUUAUAGUGGCUCUGUAGACUGCAGAAGACAUGUUGUUGUGCUGGAUUCACUUUCUGUGUACCAAAAACUGCUAU